ACUUGAAUAGCUUAUAAUGUAAGAGCAUAAUAUUGAAGAUAUUAAGGAGAUUAAUUUAAUUUUUAAGUA
rnacentral:tRNA from 1 species